GUGCUCGCUUCAGCAGCACCUAUACUAAAAUUGGAACGAUACAGAGAUUUGCAUGGCCCCUGUGCAAGGAUGACACAAGUUCGUGAAGCCUUCCAUUUUUCU